UACGAAGGGGGCUAGCGUUGCUCGGAAUUACUAGGCGUAAAGGGCGCGUAGGCGGAUAGUUUAGUCAGAGGUAAAAGCCCAGGGCUCAACCUUGGAACUGCCUUUGAUACUGCAAGUCUUGAGUCCGAUAGAGGUGGGUGGAAUUCCUAGUGUAGAGGUGAAAUUCGUAGAUAUUAGGAAGAACACCGGUGGCGAAGGCGGCCCACUGGAUCGGUACUGACGCUGAGGUGCGAAAGCGUGGGGAGCAAACAGG
rnacentral:rRNA from 1 species